AUUGAACGCUGGCGGCAUGCUUUACACAUGCAAGUCGAACGGAAGCGCGGGCUUCGGCCUGGCGGCGAGUGGCGAACGGGUGAGUAAUACAUCGGAACGUGCCCAGUAGUGGGGGGUAGCUCGGUGAAAGCCGGAUUAAUAACGCAUACGACCUGCGGGUGAAAGCGGGGGAUCUUUGGACCUUUCGCUCUUUGAGUGGUCGAUGGCAGAUUAGUUAGUUGGUGGGUUUAAGGCCUACCAAGGCGACGAUCGGUAGCUGGUCUGAGAGGACGACCAGCCACCGUGGAACUGAGACACGGCCCAGACUCCUACGGGAGGCAGCAGUGGGGAAUGUUGGACAAUGGGCGAAAGCCUGAUACAGCAAGGCCGCGUGUGUGAUGAAGGCCUUCGGGUUGUAAAGCACUUUUGGCGGGAACGAAAAGGACUGUGCCAAUACCACGGUUCGAUGACGGUACCCGCAGAAUAAGCACCGGCUAACUACGUG
rnacentral:rRNA from 1 species